UAAGGAAUAUUGGUCAAUGGACUCAAGUCUGAACCAGCCAUGCCGCGUGAAGGAUGAAGGUCCUCUGGGUUGUAAACUUCUUUUAUCUGGGACGAAAACGGGAUUUUUAUCUCAAUUGACGGUACCAGAGGAAUAAGCACCGGCUAACUCCGUGCCAGCAGCCGCGGUAAUACGGAGGGUGCGAGCGUUAUCCGGAUUUACUGGGUUUAAAGGGUGCGUAGGUGGGCUUAUAAGUCAGUGGUGAAAUCUCCGAGCUUAACUUGGAAACUGCCGUUGAUACUAUAGGUCUUGAAUUAUCUGGANGUAAGCGGAAUAUGUCAUGUAGCGGUGAAAUGCUUAGAUAUGACAUAGAACACCAAUUGCGAAGGCAGCUUACUACAUAUAAAUUGGCGCUGAGGCACGAAAGCGUGGGGAUCAAAC
rnacentral:rRNA from 1 species